rnacentral:misc_RNA from 1 species
AAUUUGGAUGACUUCCCAAAUGAGACAUUAGUAAAUGGAGUCGCUUUUUCUGUAGAGGUUUUUGGUGGUGAUGGAGUAGGGGCAACAGAAGCUGAUACAUCCAUUGGUUUAGUUGGGAUUGGUGGUGGUUCUGUAGGUGAAAUGUUGGACAAGGGAGCUUUUGUAGCCCCAACAUUGCGGCGCAAAUGCAUUUCAAAAUCCCCAACCUUUAGUUUGAGUUCAGCAAUCUCUGUCUCAUCACAGACCUCUAGUACCAAUGCUUCAAAUCCAUUAGGAAA